rnacentral:lncRNA from 1 species
GAAAACGAAAACUUUUCCUGAUGAAUUGACGCGGGCAAAAGUAGAAAAAUAUGUUUAAAGUAGCAGUGCCUUUUGAAGGAUAUUUGCCUGACGAAUUGUCAUAAAAGGUAUGAUUUUUCUGACAAAUAAGUUGGUUGUCAUGAAAAAUUUGUCACGAAAGAAAUAAUUUUUUGUAGUGAAUAAGGAGGAAUGCUCGAGCAGUAGUGAGAAAGAAAUUGAGAGGGGUCCAAGUGAGAGAGAGACCGAGAGAGACAGUGAGA